GGGAAUGUCACGGCUUCGACGGGAUGAAAAGAAGAUUAAAACGGCAUAUAGUGUCUUCUGUGCUCACUUAAAACGGACAGAACAACUUAAAUGCAGACAAUACUGCUAAUUCUUACGCUUUAGCUGCUUAAUAAUUAAUCGGCUACGUUCUUAGGAUUUUUUCUCAUUGGAUUUUAAGAACGUCACUAAAUGAGAUAGGGUAUUAAAAUGUUAAGGGUUAAUACCUGAAAUUUACUUAACUUGCGGUUGUAAAGUUUGUUUGUUUUAUAACAACCGUGAAAUUAUAAAAUAAACUAAAUAUGUAGAAGUUUUAAUAGUCUUCAUUCCGGACCCGGGUUCGACUCCCGGCAU
rnacentral:tmRNA from 1 species